rnacentral:rRNA from 1 species
AGCUCCAAUAGCGUAUAUUAAAGUUGUCGCAGUUAAAAAGCUCAUAGUUGGAUUUCUGGCAGGAGCAACCAGUCACACACUCUGUGUGUGAACUUGUGUUGUCUUUGGCCAUCCUUGGGGAGAUCCUGUUUGGCAUUAAGUUGUCGGGCAGGGGAUACCCAUCGUUUACUGUGAAAAAAUUAGAGUGUUUAAAGCAGGUUUAUGCAGUUGAAUAUAUUAGCAUAGAAUAAUAAGAUAGAACUUUAGAACUAUUUUGUUGGUUUGCGUUACGAAGUAAUGAUUCAUAGGGACAGUUGGGGGUAUUCGUAUUUCAUUGUCAGAGGUGAAAUUCCUGGAUUUCCGAAAGACGAACUACUGCGAAAGCAUUUACCAAGGAUGUUUUCA